GAUGAAAUAAGGACAUUAUCAGAUAAAAGAGAACUGAGAAUUUGUCGUCAGCAUCCCCAUACUACAAGAAAUGCCAGCGUAGUUUCUUCAGGUUGAAGGGAAAGAAUACCAGAGGAAAACUUGAAUCUUCAGGAAGGAAUGGCAUCCUUGGAAAUGCUUUUGAACCCAGGCUGAAUCACCACUGGCUUUCCUAGGGCUCCAGGCUGCAGAUGGCAGAUCAUGGGACUUCUUGGUCUCUACAAUUCUAUUAUGCUGAUCCAUUAUAUUGAUGAUAUCGUGAAGAUCUGAGGUAAAAAGGAGAAAACAGUGAGAAUGGUGGAAGCCUUAAGAAGGUAUAUGUGCACCAGUGGGCAGAAGAAAUCCCUACAGAAUUUCAGCAGCC
rnacentral:lncRNA from 1 species